rnacentral:tRNA from 1 species
GCCCGCUUAGCUCAGUGGUAGAGCGCAUCACUAGUAACUCCUCCGGGUAUGAUGAGGUCGCCAGUUCAAUUCUGGUAGCGGGCA